rnacentral:rRNA from 1 species
AUUGAACGCUGGCGGCGGGCCUAACACAUGCAAGUCGAACGGAGUGGCGGACGGGUGAGUAAUGUCUGGGAAACUGCCCGAUGGAGGGGGAUAACUACUGGAAACGGUAGCUAAUACCGCGUACUAUCAGAUGAGCCUAGGUCGGAUUAGCUAGUUGGUGGGGUAAAGGCCUACCAAGGCGACGAUCCGUAACUGGUCUGAGAGGAUGAUCAGACAUACUGGAAAUGAGACACGGUCCAGACUCCUACGGGAGGCAGCAGGGGGGAUGUGUGGACAAUGGGAGAAAGCCUGAUCCAGCUAUGCCGCGUGUGUGAAGAAGGUCUUCGGAUUGUAAAGCACUUUAAGUUGGGAAGCGUUACCAACAGAAUAAGCACCGGCUAACUUCGGGCCAGCAGCCGCGGUAAUUC